AAAGGAAUAGACGGGGGCCCGCACAAGCAGUGGAGUAUGUGGUUUAAUUCGACGCAACGCGAAGAACCUUACCAGGUCUUGACAUCGGAUGCAUAUCCCAGAGAUGGGAGAAGUCUUCGGACAUCCAGACAGGUGGUGCAUGGUUGUCGUCAGCUCGUGUCGUGAGAUGUUGGGUUAAGUCCCGCAACGAGCGCAACCCUUACUGAUAGUUACUACGAAAGAGGACUCUAUCGGGACUGCCGUUGUAAGACGGAGGAAGGCGGGGAUGACGUCAAAUCAUCAUGCCCUUUAUGACCUGGGCUACACACGUACUACAAUGGCCGUUAACAAAGGGGACCGAUGGAGCGAUCCGGAGGAAAUCCGUUAAAAGCGGUCUCAGUUCGGAUUGCAGGCUGCAACCCGCCUGCAUGAAGUCGGAAUUGCUAGUAAUCGCGGAUCAGCAUGCCGCGGUGAAUACGUUCCCGGGCCUUGUACACACCGCCCGU
rnacentral:rRNA from 1 species